UGGCAAUCCCCUAAUGUUCCCUUCCACCUUGUGGAAGUUUUGUUCUUUCGCUCUUUGCAAUAAAUCCCAUUGUUGCUCGCUCUUUGGGGUCUCACUGUCUGUGCGAGCUGUAAUACUCGCCGCAAAGGUGUCUGGCUUCACUUCCGAGACCAGCGAGACCCCGAACCCACCGGGAGGAAUGAACAACUCCGGAUGGGAGGGACAAACAACACCAGACGCACCGCCUUAAGAGUCCUAACGCUCACCGCGGAGGUCUGCGGCUUCACUCUUGAAUGAAGCCAGCGAGAUCACAAACCCACCAGAAGGAAGGAACUCUGAACACAUCCGAAAAUCAGAAGGAACAAACUCCGGACACACUACCUUUAAGAACUGUAACACUCAAAUCGCGAGGGUCCACGGCUUCGUUCUUGAAGUCAGUGAGACCAAGAACCCACAAAUUCCGGACACUUCCCCACACAGAGGGAACUGGCCUAACACUCUGAAUCUACAUCAAGGAACUCAAGCGCUCUUGUUGUCUUCCUGGGCAGGUGGUGCCAAUAGGAUGUACUGACAGAUCAGAAGUGGUCGUGAGAGAAGGAGCAAGUAGCCAGAAGAGUGAAGUGUGCACUGGCUGAGAUGUGGGAGCAGGUGUUGUUGGUUUCCCCGGAGUCUUAUGUAUCAACAAAAUCACACCAGACCACCCAAAGCUGGCCCUGCCAACUGACCACACACACCCCUGCCUGAAAGGCAUGUUUCAAUGUGCAACAGACGCCUGCCACUCAGGGGACAUCAAAUGUUCAUGAGAACUCGCUAACCUCGAAACAGGUUCUACAAAUUCAAAAAAACCACCCGUGGCCUGGCUCUGGGCUGAAGCUGAGUCCUGGCUUGAAAUCCCCUGCCUUAAUCUCUCUUCGAAGACUUUUCUGCAUUCAUCUGAGUCCUCAUCCUCCAAGGCAGGGCUCAGGCUUGGGCUCAGGCUCCCAGCCAUGUAUCCCUCCUGGACCAUUCCUGACUCCUUUCCAGUAUCCUUAUCACUUGUACCACAUACGUUGGCCUUUGAUCCUGUGUACUGUUGGAUUUGUCUUUACUUCACAGGUUCAUCUUGUCUCCCCAAGAACAAUGAGAGUUGCCUCAAGGGGUAGAACCAUGCUUUUUGUUUUCUUUUGAAUUCAUUACAGCACAGCCAAAAGCUCAACACACAAAACACACUCAGUAAAUAUCUGUUGAACAGAAUAAAAGCCAUUCCGCAUAACCAACCCUGAUCUCUUUUGCUGGACUGUAAACCAACCUACCUAUUGUUAGUCCUUCACAGAUUAUAUGGUGGAUCUGAACACAUCAGGUAGAACCUUUGAUAAACUUAAAGUCCUUCAUUGAAUCACUCUGUAGCCACUGUUUUCUCUAGGACAAAAGCUUUAAAUAUUUUGAGAAAAUUGUACAAGACCAUCCAUCCUGAUUCUCAUGGCUUUGGUUGUUCAGAAAGGAAAUCUUUGUACACACACCAUUUCACUGCCUCCUUUUCAGUUUCCCAAUUUGGAAAAAGGAAAAAUGUGAACUAUCCCCCUCUUCGCGUUCUUUUCUAACUGAAGUGAUAGAUUUCAGAGUCGUAUAAAGCUAAGAUUAUCGUUUAUCAUAUCUCAG
rnacentral:lncRNA from 10 species